rnacentral:piRNA from 1 species
UAGGAUACUGUGAAAAGAAGGGCGAAGAUGU